rnacentral:rRNA from 1 species
UCGGGAAUUUUGGGCAAUGGGCGAAAGCCUGACCCAGCAACGCCGCGUGAAGGAUGAAGUAUUUCGGUAUGUAAACUUCGUAAGAAUAGGAAGAAUAAAUGACGGUACUAUUUGUAAGGUCCGGCUAACUACGUGCCAGCAGCCGCGGUAAUACGUAGGGACCAAGCGUUGUUCGGAUUUACUGGGCGUAAAGGGCGCGUAGGCGGUGUGUCAAGUCAGUUGUGAAAUCUCCGAGCUUAACUCGGAACGGUCAACUGAUACUGUCACACUAGAGUGCAGAAGGGGCAAUCGGAAUUCUUGGUGUAGCGGUGAAAUGCGUAGAUAUCAAGAGGAACACCUGAGGCGAAGGCGGGUUGCUGGGCUGAUACUGACGCUGAGGCGCGAAAGCUAGGGUAGCAAACGGGAUUAGAUACCCCAGUAGUCCCUGAGCGGGCUGGCAAGGCGCAU